AAUCUGUCAUGUGAUGUGUCACCUGAAGGCUAUAAUUAUCGAGGAGAGCCGAGGUCAGAUUUCAGCAGACAGGACGCAGCAUGGAGGAGAGCUGCAGCUCGGCCACAAGGUGACGAGUAAUAUCCGUGUACUUCAGCAGGUUGACAGGAAGUGGUGAUGAUGGUGGGCGUGGUGGUAGCAUGCAGCUCGGUGAGCUCCAUCAAAGCACUGUGGGAGACCAGGAUCAGGAGGAGGAGGGAGGAGCAUGAGGAGGAGCACAAGAGGAGGACCACGAGGGGCGGGGCCACAGGCAGACUUGGAGUCGGGCUUUGGGAAGACCGGGCGGCGCUGGCCCGGCUAAAGCAGAAGCUGGAGACUGAGGACGGCCGGCUGGUCCUCCGGAUCGAGCAGGAGGAGUGGAAGGUUCUGCCAGGCUGCCUGAUCCAGCUCAGUCAGGUCCAGGAAUGGCAGAUCCACCGGACCGGACUACUGAAGAUCCCUCACUUCAUCUCCAGCUUCCAGAACCUUCUGGUGCUCGAUCUGUCCCGGAACGGAGUCGCUGAGAUCCCCAAACAGAUCGGAAAGCUGACCCGGCUCAGAGAGCUGCUGCUGAGCUACAACAGAAUCCCGUUUGUUCCGGCAGAGCUGAGCGGGUGUGAGAGCCUGGAGAGGCUGGAGCUGACAAUGAACCGGGACCUAAAUGAGCUACCAGACCAGCUUGGGACGCUGUCGCGGCUGCAGCAUGUUGAUCUUUCCAUGAACGACUUCAGCUGCCUGCCUGCUUGCCUGCUCGCCCUGCCGGCGCUCGAGUGGCUCGACAUGGGAGGAAACUGCCUGCAUCACUUACCUGAAGACAUACACAGGAUGGAGGCGCUACACACUCUGUGGCUGCAGAGGAACGAGUUGGAGAAGCUUCCGGAGAACAUCGCCAGAAUGAGGAGCCUGGACACGCUGGUGCUCAGCAGCAACAGGCUGAGAGACAUCCCACCGCUCAUGGAGGGCAUGUCCAACCUCAGGUUUGUGAACUUCCGGGAUAACCCCCUGACUCUGGACGUGACGCUGCCGAGCAGGAAGGCAGUGCCUGAGGAUGAAGAGGAGGAAGAUGUCAGGGAGAUGUUCGGGAAAGAGUUCAUGCUCAUGUACAUCCAGGAGGCCCGAAAGAGAGCGUACGCCGUGCUCAACGUGCACUGCGUCAACCGUUAGUACUGAGCAUGCUCACUGACCUGCGUGCGCUAACACGCUAACCUGUGUGUGUGCCAAGCAUCUCAUGGGGGCAGUGACCCUCAACGACGUCAACAAACAGGAAGCUAAACCCCGACUGACCCCUCUGACCUCAGAGUCCGAUGAUGAGUCCAAUGAUGAAUCCUCAGCAUGAAAUACGACCCCAUGUCUUUUUUUCUUCUUCUGAGCUUCUCCCUCUUAAAGACACUUCCACAGAUCCACACUUGUGUUUUUAUUUUGAAAGACUUUGGGUGGACGAGCAGGACGAGUCAAACUCCAGAAGUUUGUCCAGCUAUGGAAUAAUCUAUGAUUGUGCCAUGUGACAUGCAGAUUUUAGUGAGCAUGCUCAGAGCGUCGCUUGUUGGAAGACUGCAAACGUUUUAUGUACAUGAGGAACAAAACACUUUAAUAUAAACAGAAAACACCUGAGCAUGUUCAGUUUCACUUCCUGUAACUUAAAACUCAAAAUUGCAGCUUACAAUCAAACAAUCAGGAGGAGUGGGGGGUGAGGGGUACGGCGGUCAGCAGGACGUUCUCCAGCGUGACAUCACUGCUGAUGUAACGAGUCAGUUUGCUGCUGAAUCCUUUCAUCUGCAGGAAGUGACACCUGCCGUGGUCGAUCAGCUGUUUGCAUAGACGGCCGAGCUGCUCACGCUCAGAAGCCGACAGAAACCUGUCACGAACAGACGUCCACACACAUAGACACACACACACACAAACACAGUGUGUUAGUUCAGUGUAAACAUGCAGACAGUCCUGAUUAUUAUACACUAGGAACAUUAAACUCUAGCCCCUCCUUCUCUUCCUGUAGCCCCGCCAUCUCAUCCUAUAGCCCCUCCUUCUCUUCCUGUAGACCCUCCUGCUCUGAAGCUUGAUUUUCAUGUUCAUCACUUGUGCACUGAUGAGAUCAGUGUAUAUGCAGUGUCAGUCCUCCGUGUUUAGCCUGUGUGACACGCUGACAUCAGCUUGUCACAGACCUUACAUUGAAUAGAGCUAAUAAAUAUUUAGAAAAAGGAUUUCCAGCUGCUUCAUGAAUCUAUGGAUCACAUGUGUGAACUGAAAUAAAUCCACUCUCCUGUCCUUCACUUUGUCUCUGCAGCUGAUUCUGAACAUAAAACACUGACAUGCUGCUGACUUGUGCUGAUAGGUUGGUCAAACCUCCUUAAAGCCCAGCGCAAGCUGCUUGAUGUGGUGUUUGAAGGUGCUGAUGUGAAUCAGUAAAGAGGGAUUAUUCUUAACUGUGGAUCAUGCAAAGCUGCUCUAAAAUAAAACCAGAGGAACGAA